UCCAGACUCCUGCGGGAGGCAGCAGUGGGGAAUUUUCCGCAAUGGGCGAAAGCCUGACGGAGCAAUACCGCGUGAGGGAGGAAGGCUCUUGGGUUGUAAACCUCUUUUCUCAGGGAAGAACAAAAUGACGGUACCUGAGGAAUAAGCAUCGGCUAACUCCGUGCCAGCAGCCGCGGUAAUACGGAGGAUGCAAGCGUUAUCCGGAAUUAUUGGGCGUAAAGCGUCCGCAGGUGGCAAUUCAAGUCUGCUGUUAAAGGUUCUGGCUCAACCAGAGACAGGCAGUGGAAACUGAAUAGCUAGAGUGCGGUAGGGGCAGAGGGAAUUCCCAGUGUAGCGGUGAAAUGCGUAGAGAUUGGGAAGAACACCGGUGGCGAAAGCGCUCUGCUAGGCCGUAACUGACACUCAUGGACGAAAGCUAGGGGAGCGAAUGGGAUUAGAUACCCCAGUAGUCCUAGCCGUAAACGAUGGAUACUAGGCGUUGCUCGCAUCGACCCGAGCAGUGCCGUAGCUAACGCGUUAAGUAUCCCGCCUGGGGAGUACGCGCGCAAGCGUGAAACUCAAAGGAAUUGACGGGGGCCCGUACAAGCGG
rnacentral:rRNA from 1 species